rnacentral:misc_RNA from 1 species
GUGAAUCAUCAAAUUUUUGAACGCAAAUUGCACUCUCUUCGGAGAGUAUGACUGUUUGAGGGUCAGACUAAAAAAAAUCGACAUCGUUGCUGUUUCGCGGUGGUGUUCGUCGGAAGUUGGGUUAUUUUAAAUCUUUGGUUUAAGCGUCUUAAAAUUUUCUUUACGAUUCCAUGAACGUUUUUAAGAUUUAUUUCUUUACACGUUGAAGGUAUCGUUUUUAUUAGGCGUGGUCGUCAUAUUGGAUUGAGUUCAUAAUUUU